rnacentral:rRNA from 1 species
UACGUAGGGCGCAAGCGUUGUCCGGAAUUAUUGGGCGUAAAGAGCUCGUAGGCGGCCAGUUGCGUCUGCUGUGAAAUCCCGGGGCUCAACCCCGGGCGUGCAGUGGAUACGGGCUGGCUAGAGGCAGGCAGGGGAGAACGGAAUUCCCGGUGUAGCGGUGAAAUGCGCAGAUAUCGGGAGGAACACCGGUGGCGAAGGCGGUUCUCUGGGCCUGUACUGACGCUGAGGAGCGAAAGCGUGGGGAGCGAACAG